rnacentral:misc_RNA from 1 species
GAUCAUUACCGAGACAUUCGGUCUGAAGACUGAUCUCCACACUAUGUUUUAAGCGUCGAGCGGGCGAAAGCUUGCGAGAUGCGACCACUUAUUUUCUCUUGAAAAUUCAAAAACUAAAAAGUUAAAACUUUCAACAACGGAUCUCUUGGUUCUGGCAUCGAUGAAGAACGCAGCGAAAUGCGAAAAGUAAUGUGAAUUGCAGAAUUCAGUGAAUCAUCGAAUCUUUGAACGCACAUUGCACCUCAUGGUAUUCCGUGAGGUAUACAUGUUCGAGCGUCGUUAAAGGACAAUAAAGCUCUGCUUUGCGAUGACGCCUCCGACACUUCGUGGUGUUGGAGCGUUGAAAACUGUUGGCGCACGGAUCGCGCUCGGCACCAAUCACAAUUGGAAGCUGGAAGCGAGCCCGGGCAGCUCUACACCAAACUCUAUUUUAACGUUCGACCUCCAAUCAUGUAGGAUUACCCGCUGAACCUAAUCAUAU